ACAACAUUCAGACCGUCGGUCUACCGAGCGAUAUCACUCGUCCGGUGGAAGAUUUUCCCUCCGUCCU
rnacentral:pre_miRNA from 1 species